GCCGGAGUGGCGAAAUUGGCAGACGCGCGAGACUUAGGAUCUCGUAUCGCAAGAUGUGCAGGUUCAAGUCCUGUCUCCGGCACCA
rnacentral:tRNA from 1 species